GGAUGAACGCUAGCGACAGGCUUAACACAUGCAAGUCGAGGGGCAGCGGGGGUAGCAAUACCCGCCGGCGACCGGCGCACGGGUGAGUAACGCGUAUGCAACUUACCUAUCAGAGGGGGAUAACCCGGCGAAAGUCGGACUAAUACCGCAUGAAGCAGGGGCCCCGCAUGGGGAUAUUUGCUAAAGAUUCAUCGCUGAUAGAUAGGCAUGCGUUCCAUUAGGCAGUUGGCGGGGUAACGGCCCACCAAACCGACGAUGGGUAGGGGUUCUGAGAGGGAGGUCCCCCACAUUGGUACUGAGACACGGACCAAACUCCUACGGGAGGCAGCAGUGAGGAAUAUUGGUCAAUGGCCGAGAGGCUGAACCAGCCAAGUCGCGUGAGGGAUGAAGGUUCUAUGGAUCGUAAACCUCUUUUAUAAGGGAAUAAAGUGCGGGACGUGUCCCGUUUUGUAUGUACCUUAUGAAUAAGGAUCGGCUAACUCCGUGCCAGCAGCCGCGGUAAUACGGAGGAUCCGAGCGUUAUCCGGAUUUAUUGGGUUUAAAGGGUGCGUAGGCGGCCUUUUAAGUCAGCGGUGAAAGUCUGUGGCUCAACCAUAGAAUUGCCGUUGAAACUGGGGGGCUUGAGUAUGUUUGAGGCAGGCGGAAUGCGUGGUGUAGCGGUGAAAUGCAUAGAUAUCACGCAGAACCCCGAUUGCGAAGGCAGCCUGCCAAGCCAUGACUGACGCUGAUGCACGAAAGCGUGGGGAUCAAACAGGAUUAGAUACCCUGGUAGUCCACGCAGUAAACGAUGAUCACUAGCUGUUUGCGAUACACUGUAAGCGGCACAGCGAAAGCGUUAAGUGAUCCACCUGGGGAGUACGCCGGCAACGGUGAAACUCAAAGGAAUUGACGGGGGCCCGCACAAGCGGAGGAACAUGUGGUUUAAUUCGAUGAUACGCGAGGAACCUUACCCGGGUUUGAACGCAUUCGGACCGAGGUGGAAACACCUUUUCUAGCAAUAGCCGUUUGCGAGGUGCUGCAUGGUUGUCGUCAGCUCGUGCCGUGAGGUGUCGGCUUAAGUGCCAUAACGAGCGCAACCCUUGCCACUAGUUACUAACAGGUAAAGCUGAGGACUCUGGUGGGACUGCCAGCGUAAGCUGCGAGGAAGGCGGGGAUGACGUCAAAUCAGCACGGCCCUUACAUCCGGGGCGACACACGUGUUACAAUGGCGUGGACAAAGGGAGGCCACCUGGCGACAGGGAGCGAAUCCCCAAACCACGUCUCAGUUCGGAUCGGAGUCUGCAACCCGACUCCGUGAAGCUGGAUUCGCUAGUAAUCGCGCAUCAGCCAUGGCGCGGUGAAUACGUUCCCGGGCCUUGUACACACCGCCCGUCAAGCCAUGGGAGCCGGGGGUACCUGAAGUCCGUAACCGCGAGGAUCGGCCUAGGGUAAAACUGGUGACUGG
rnacentral:rRNA from 1 species